CAAAGUCAGCCACAACCUCCCCUCCAAAAAGAAAAAAACCUAGGUCACGGCCGCCCCCAAAUCUACAUCCCGAUCCACCCGUGCCCUCCACCAUCCCGCCGCCGCCCCCAACCAUCCCGCCGCCGCUGUCGCACCCGCCAUCCCAUCGACGCGGACAGCCCUCCACCCCGACCACUGCCGCCGUCGCCCCUAACUACCCAACAGCAGCGCUGGCAGCACCCCACUAACCCGGACCACCACUGUCGCCGAGCCACUCAACCGGCGACUACCCUCCUCGAAUGCCUUCCCUCGCCACCACUCUACUUCGCGAGAUUCCUCCCCCGAGCAGGCUUCCUCCCUAAGACGAUGGAGCCAGUAGUUCUUCUGAUGAGGUGGGUGAGUGCAAUGGUGUUGGUGUGUUCUUCGGAUGAGAUUGUGUCUGCAAUGUUGUUGGUGUGUUCUUCAAAUGAGAGAAGAACAAGUAGUUGUUUCUACAGAAAGCUUUACGAAGUGAAUUCAUUAUUGCUUGAAGUCUUGUGUAUGGAAGGGAAAUUGGACAUUCUGCUCACUGUGUACUAAUCAAAAUUAGGAAGUAGACAAGUCCGCGGCAAAAGCAGGAAUUCGACCACAAGCAUGCCGAGUAGGUUUCGCAAAGGUACACAAGUUGAUGGAGGUUUGGAAGAUCUUCAAGCUGUUGAAGAUUUGGAAGACCUACAAUGAAGUUGGUGGAGUGAUAAUGCCAUAUGUCUUAUUUGUUGAAUCUGGAGAUUGCUAUGCUUAUUUUGGUUGUGGCACAUCUAGAAAUUUAUGUACUACUUUUGUGGUACUACUUCAUUUUUGUAGUCUGGCACAUCUAGAAACAUAUAUGUACUUCUCCUUUUGUGGAAAAACCUUGUGUUUAUUGAAUAUAUUUUAAGGUUC